rnacentral:rRNA from 1 species
UGGGGAAUUUUGGACAAUGGGCGCAAGCCUGAUCCAGCCAUACCGCGUGAGUGAAGAAGGCCUUCGGGUUGUAAAGCUCUUUCAGACGGAAAGAAACGGUUACGGCUAAUACCCGUGACUAAUGACGGUACCGUAAGAAGAAGCACCGGCUAACUACGUGCCAGCAGCCGCGGUAAUACGUAGGGUGCGAGCGUUAAUCGGAAUUACUGGGCGUAAAGCGUGCGCAGGCGGCGACAUAAGACAGAUGUGAAAUCCCCGGGCUCAACCUGGGAACUGCGUUUGUGACUGUGUUGCUAGAGUGUAGCAGAGGGGGGUGGAAUUCCACGUGUAGCAGUGAAAUGCGUAGAGAUGUGGAGGAACACCGAUGGCGAAGGCAGCCCCCUGGGUUAACACUGACGCUCAUGCACGAAAGCGUGGGGAGCAAACAGGAUUAGAUACCCAAGUAGUCCCUGAGCGGGCUGGCAAGGCGCAU